GGGUUUUAUUCUGGCGACAUGAUCAUCGAUGAUUGGCUGCCGUAUGUCCAUAAUAAUCUCAUCAUGUAGGCUAUACCCACAAAGUAAUCUGCAAACUAUUGGCUCGAGCGCACAUGCCAAUACCAGAGUGGGCACGCACUAUAUAAUGCAAUUGUUUUGGCGAGAAACCCAUCAGUAGAGUUGAAAAUGCGACGGAAACCCAUUUACAGGAACUUGUAUGUCUUUAUUCGGUACAUGGGAAUUUAACCGCAAAAAGAAGGCCCGCAUCCCGGAGUCGCCUCUUCACUGUUGACAACCGCUCGCUUAACCCAGAAGCCAGCUGCACCAACGUGUCGGAGGAAACACUAUUGAACUUGCAGGCGCCCGGCCGGCCACAAGGAGUGGCUAGAGUGAGAUGAGCCAAGUAAAGCCCCCCCGGCCAAACCCUCCCCUAACCCGGACAUCACCCUUUGAGACUCCCGGUCACGGGGAUCCUACCCCAGGCUGGUAGUGAUGCCGCAACACUGCGAUGCAGUGCCUUAGACCGCUGCGCCAAACGAUUGGAGACACCCCAGAGUAUUGAGUUACAAAAAAAAAAAACAGUUCCUCCCCCUCCAUCUCCCUCCCACUUCCUCCCUCUCCUUCCCUCCCCAUCUCCCUGACAGACCCUUUUAACUGGAGAGAAUACGGUUUCAUAUUUCACUCUCGUGUCAACCAACAACACCGCAAAACUAUCAAUACUCACCAGCGAGUGAGCAAUGCAUAAUUGGGAGAUGUAGCUUGUAACCGCGCCAACCAGCGCCACGCCAACGGCACUGACGAUCCCCGCGAUGGUUCCGGUCUCCGCCAUGGUGUCUGGAACGAAGGGAGAACACAGAGAGGUGUUGUCUUUUCCAACGUCAAACAGAUCAUCGUCCGAGAAGGAGCCACCUAUAAUGCGGGAUAUAGGAUUACAUUAACUGGCAACCCUAACCUGACACACCAGGCUCCAAGCCAGGGACGGUCCCCAUACAAACAACGCCAAUGUCUCCAAAGGAAGGUCAUCGAGAGAGAGGACAAAGUUCAGCAGACGAGGAGUCAAUCACAGUGCUGGUUGCCAGAUUUCACCCGGGGAGGAAAAAGAGAAGAUUAGCCUUUGACAAGACCCAGCCGGAGUGAAACUACAGCCACCAUCCCCAUGCAAGUUGCCAGAUAUUAUGACCACAUUGGCAGGAAAUCGGAAGUGGUGCCUUUUUGAGGAUGUGGGUUUUGGAUAUAGACCAUCAGUCCUGCUUUCUUGCGCAGUACACCCACAGUACAAACUUGCCAAGAGGAAGCUUUUAGUAGAGUAUGUGUUAAAUACAUCCAAACACAGUACCCAUCCAAACGCAGUACACACGCUCAGUGUGUGCCCAGUCGAUAACUCCCCAGUAGGCCUUGUUAAUGGUGUGAGAGAGAAAUCGGAGGGAUAGAGAGAUGGAUAAAUGGAGAUGGAGAGGCAGAAAGUAAGAGAGAGAGACAGGGAGAGAUAAAGAGAGAGAGACAGGGAGAGAUAAAGAGAGAGAGACAGGGAGAGAUAAAGAGAGAGAGACAGGGAGAGAUAAAGAGAGAGAGACAGGCAUACAAGAUAGAGAGAGUGACAUAAAGACAGGACAGAUAGAGUCGAUAAUAAAGAGAGGAAUGAGGUUAAAUUGAACUAGGUAUUAUCCAAGAAGGUAUAAUCCAAAAAGCUAGUACCCAGCCCAGUAGACAGAGGCAGGACAGGCACAGUAGGGUUUAGUUUGGUCAGGUAGACCAUGUUGGUUAGGGUAGGUCAGGCAGGGUUCUUACCCCCAUUCCCCCCUCUGUUGUUGGAAGCUCCGGCACCCUUGCCCCCGCCUCCGAUACCUUUAUCUGACGAGCAAAUGACACCACAUCAACCUUCUGUAUACUAAUACUAUAAUAAUACUACUGCUCUACUAUAUUACCACUAUACUGUACUACUAUUACUAAUUUACAGUACUAUAGCCCACACACCAUCAACCCCCUGGUACUAAACUAAUACUACCACUAAUACUACUAUUUCUGGUGUCUAGAACAUUACUGCUAUUGUACAGCUAUACUAUGACUAUACUACUUAAUACUACACUACAACAUUAAAGGCAAUGUUUUUUUCUUUACAGAGAACUCACUCACGGUAAACGCUGCAUUAUGUUCAAUCGGAAAUUACCUGUAAAUGUCAAUUGCACUAUAAUCCGCGAUCCGGAUUGAAUCGAGGCCUAGUAAAUACCAUACUACUUCGCAGGACCAUGCGAUAGCAUCUGCAAAUCUGCGUACGCGAACAAUAAACCUGGACUUGAACCGGGACGGCGUUAUGGGCGGGUCUUGGGGGACCUGGUCGGCCUUACCGUACCUCCUUGCCGUCCAAAUAAAAUAUAGAAUAUUGAUCAUUUAUUUAACCGAGACGCGCGCCAACAGAAAGAUGGCGUGCGUCCAAAAUAAUUCUAGCAUCCGAACAGUGCACUCGCCAACUUUCCUUCAAUCUGCAAGUGUCUGAAUCAGCGCCCCUCUGUGUUACUAUAUGUUGACAAAAAAAAGACGUGGAAUGGGUUCGCACUCAAAAAUAUGUCGCAUAAAGCUUACUUCAAUAUUCCAUAUUUACUGCAUCAAGGGUUGGCGUUACACUGAUGUUUCCGCUUUUACAGCCUUCUCCGGUGUGUGGGUCCAAUUUUCUUUCAUUCACAACACCAUUUGUGCUAAUGAAACUACAAACUAUACCAGUUAUUAUUGAAGGAGACUGGUUAGUCACUUUUAAUGUCUCAUUUCUACAUACCAAUAUUCCAAAUGACGGCGGUAUGGAGGCCCUCAAAUUCUUCCUCUCGCUUAAGCGAGGUGCCGACAAAAAUUACAUAAUUGAGCUUGCAACAACUAGUGCAAAGAACCUAAAAAAACAACAUUAUUUGAUAAAUAUGACUAUCUACAGACUUUUGGAACAGCAAUGGGAACUCCAUUAGGGCCAUUAACUAUGCAAAUCCAUUUAUGGGGUAAUUCUAAUAGGAUUGUAUUGAUGAAAAUAAUCCUUACAAAGAUCGCGUUAAAUAUUGGACCAGAUAUAUAGACGAUUGCUUUAUGAUCUGGUCGGGUUACGAAAUUAAAUUACAUUUCUUAACUACAUUAACUCUGGAGUACAAUCAAUCUCAUUCACUAUGGAAAAUAACAUUAACUCUAUACAUUUCUUAGAUGUACUUGAUACAAAGAAGGGACAAUCUCUUAAGUACUACAGUUUACAGAAAAUACUAUAUCGACAGUUGAUAGUUAUCACCCUCUCCCUCUAAAAAUAGGUUUACCAGUAAGCCAACUUCAUAGACUGCGUCGCAUCUGUGACACAAACGAAGAAUAUGAUAGACAAUCAAAUUCUCUUCUUGAGCGUUUCCGCUUGAGAGGAUACCCGAUUCCUGGCUUGAUAAAGCUCCAAAACAAGUUCAAAGCUUGAACAGAAGCCAGUUACUUAAUAAAUCCCCACAAAAAGAUUAAACUGUUUCCCGUAAACUAUAUACUUACUUUCAAUGAUAGCCGUAAUGGCAUAAGGUCUAUUGUCAAUUAACACUGGUACAUUAUCAUCAGACUCCUCUUUAAAUUCUGCUUUUUAGAAUCUACCUCGCCUAUAAACGACCAAGAAAUCUAUCAAACGUAUUGGUUAAAAACAGAUGUGUUCAGAGAGAGAAAAGAGGCAUUCAUAAAAGGAUGCUUCCCCCUGUAGAUCUUCCCAUGUACUUCUUGUAGCAACAUAAGGAAAUGUUCCAACUUUGUAUGCCCUCAGACUUCUAGGACCUAUUAAAUAAAGUCACGUUUAACUUGCA